AAUCUGAGGUCCCCGACCUCCGAGUUGUAAUUUGGAGAGGCAUCUUCGGGGGGGAGCGCCGGCCCAUGUUCCUUGGAACAGGACGUCACAGAGGGUGAGAAUCCCGUGCCUGGCCGGCUCCCUCCUCCCGGGUGAAGGGCCUUCGACGAGUCGAGUUGUUUGGGAAUGCAGCUCCAAGUGGGUGGUAAGUUUCAUCUAAAGCUAAAUACCGGCGGGAGACCGAUAGCGCACAAGUAGAGUGAUCGAAAGAUGAAAAGCACUUUGAAAAUAGAGUCAAAAAGUACGUGAAAUUGUUGAAAGGGAAGCGCUUGAGACCAGACUCAGGCCCGGGCAAACACCGCGCCCCCCGGGGCCGUGCAAUUGCCUGGGGCUGGGCCAGCAUCAGUCGGCGUGGCGGGACAAAGGCGCGGGGAAUGUGGCUCCCCUCGGGGAGUGUUAUCAGCCCCGUGCUCAAUGCCGCCGACGCCGACUGAGGACCGCGCCUCGGCUAGGAUGCUGGCUUAAUGGCCUUCAGCGACCCGUCUUGAAACACGGACCAAGGAGUCUAACAUCUAUGCGAGUGUUUGGGCGCCAAACCCUUGCGCGGAAUGAAAGUGAGCGGAGGUGGGAACCCCCCCUGCGGGGCGCACCAUCGACCGAUCCUGAUGUCUUCGGAUGGAUUUGAGUA
rnacentral:rRNA from 1 species